AUUGAACGCUGGCGGAAUGCUUUACACAUGCAAGUCGAACGGCAGCACAGACUUCGGUCUGGUGGCGAGUGGCGAACGGGUGAGUAAUGUAUCGGAACGUGCCCAGUCGUGGGGGAUAACGUAGUGAAAAUUACGCUAAUACCGCAUACGAUCUAUGGAUGAAAGCGGGGGAUCGCAAGACCUUGCGCGAUUGGAGCGGCCGAUAUCAGAUUAGGUAGUUGGUGGGGUAAAGGCCCACCAAGCCAACGAUCUGUAGCUGGUCUGAGGGGACGACCAGCCACACUGGAACUGAGACACGGUCCAGACUCCUACGGGAGGCAGCAGUGGGGAAUUUUGGACAAUGGGCGAAAGCCUGAUCCAGCCAUUCCGCGUGCAGGAUGAAGGCCCUCGGGUUGUAAACUGCUUUUGUACAGAACGAAAAGGUUUCUACUAAUACUAGGAGCUCAUGACGGUACUGUAAGAAUAAGCACCGGCUAACUACGUGCCAGCAGCCGCAGUAA
rnacentral:rRNA from 1 species